rnacentral:rRNA from 1 species
UGGUCCUACGGGGCGCAGCAGUGGGGAAUAUUGCACAAUGGGGGAAACCCUGAUGCAGCAACGCCGCGUGAGUGAAGAAGUCAUUCGUGAUGUAAAGCUCUAUCAGCAGGGAAGAAAAUGACGGUACCUGAGUAAGAAGCCCCGGCUAACUACGUGCCAGCAGCCGCGGUAAUACGUAGGUGGCGAGCGUUAUCCGGAAUGAUUGGGCGUAAAGGGUGCGUAGGCGGCCUGCUAAGUCUGGAGUGAAAGGUACCGGCUCAACCGGUACAGGCUCUGGAAACUGGCGGGCUAGUGAGCAGGAGAGG